GAUGAACGCUAGCUACAGGCUUAACACAUGCAAGUCGAGGGACCGGCGCACGUGUGAGUAACACGUAUCCAACCUGCCCUUUACUCGGUGAUAGCCUUUCGAAAGAACGAUUAAUACCCGAUAUAAAGGAUGGGGAUGCGGUCCAUUAGUUUGUUGGUGAGGUAACGGCCAACCAAGCCUUCGAUGGUUAGGGGUUCGGAGAGGAAGGUCCCCCAGAUUGGAGAUGCGGCACCGUCCAAACGCCUACGGGAGGGAGCAGUAAGGAAUAUAGGGGAAGGGGCGGUAGCCUGAACCAGCCAAGUAGCGUGAAGGAUGAAGGGUUAUGGGUCGUAAACUGCUUUUAUAUAAGAAUAGGUAUUAGAUGAAUAAGGAUCGGCUAACUCCGUGCCAGCCGCCGCGGUAAUUC
rnacentral:rRNA from 1 species